UUGCAAUAGUAAAAUAAUUUCAAAACUUUUUAAUGAUGAGUGAUGGAAACUUGUUUUGGCAGAAUCAGCGCAUGAGAUUGCCUUGGAGAAGGCUGGGGAAGAUGUUUGGGCCCUUAUUAAAGCUGCAUGGACAUAAAUAGAUAUGCAGGAGUACAGCUUGUGGUCUAUGUUUCAUCCCAAUAUUACCUGACUGGCUUUAUGUCAGUAGAAGGCAUAAUAUCCUUCUGGCUUCCAAAGUUUCUCACUUAAAAGUUUCUGCAUUUUGGUGGAGUCUCAGCUGUUACAGCUGAGUGCAAAAGACUUGUAAAGGUAAGAGAAAGUGAGCAGUGUGUAAGAGUUGGGGAAUCCUAGAUAUUUAUCUAACAAGAUAUUCAUCUUUUGAGCAGAAAUGUUCAUGUGCAGGAAGCUUUAGCUGAAGUAAAUUAAAAGGCUUUAGGCUGUGCUUAGAUUAAGACACUAUUUCUUCACCCAGCAGUAUCAAUGCUGACAGAGCUGUGUAGGAACAGAAGGAUUUGUGCUUUAUCCUGACCCAGGCAGCACCAGCAGAAAGGUCAGCCAGUGGUCAUAUCAUGGAGCUGAAUGCUUUCACAGACUGAAACUUUGUGCCUCAAGG
rnacentral:lncRNA from 1 species